rnacentral:rRNA from 1 species
GAUGAACGCUAGCUACAGGCUUAACACAUGCAAGUCGAGGGGCAGCAUUUUAGUUUGCUUGCAAACUGAAGAUGGCGACCGGCGCACGGGUGAGUAACACGUAUCCAACCUGCCGAUAACUCCGGAAUAGCCUUUCGAAAGAAAGAUUAAUACCGGAUGGCAUACGAAUAUCGCAUGAUAUUUUUAUUAAAGAAUUUCGGUUAUCGAUGGGGAUGCGUUCCAUUAGUUUGUUGGCGGGGUAACGGCCCACCAAGACUACGAUGGAUAGGGGUUCUGAGAGGAAGGUCCCCCACAUUGGAACUGAGACACGGUCCAAACUCCUACGGGAGGCAGCAGUGAGGAAUAUUGGUCAAUGGGCGAGAGCCUGAACCAGCCAAGUAGCGUGAAGGAUGAAGGCUCUAUGGGUCGUAAACUUCUUUUAUAUGGGAAUAAAGUAUUCCACGUGUGGAAUUUUGUAUGUACCAUAUGAAUAAGGAUCGGCUAACUCCGUGCCAGCAGCCGCGGUAAUACGGAGGAUCCGAGCGUUAUCCGGAUUUAUUGGGUUUAAAGGGAGCGUAGGUGGAUUGUUAAGUCAGUUGUGAAAGUUUGCGGCUCAACCGUAAAAUUGCAGUUGAAACUGGCAGUCUUGAGUACAGUAGAGGUGGGCGGAAUUCGUGGUGUAGCGGUGAAAUGCUUAGAUAUCACGAAGAACUCCGAUUGCGAAGGCAGCUCACUAGACUGUCACUGACACUGAUGCUCGAAAGUGUGGGUAUCAAACAGGAUUAGAUACCCUGGUAGUCCACACAGUAAACGAUGAAUACUCGCUGUUUGCGAUAUACAGUAAGCGGCCAAGCGAAAGCAUUAAGUAUUCCACCUGGGGAGUACGCCGGCAACGGUGAAACUCAAAGGAAUUGACGGGGGUCCGCACAAGCGGAGGAACAUGUGGUUUAAUUCGAUGAUACGCGAGGAACCUUACCCGGGCUUAAAUUGCAACAGAAUAUAUUGGAAACAGUAUAGCCGUAAGGCUGUUGUGAAGGUGCUGCAUGGUUGUCGUCAGCUCGUGCCGUGAGGUGUCGGCUUAAGUGCCAUAACGAGCGCAACCCUUAUCUUUAGUUACUAACAGGUCAUGCUGAGGACUCUAGAGAGACUGCCGUCGUAAGAUGUGAGGAAGGUGGGGAUGACGUCAAAUCAGCACGGCCCUUACGUCCGGGGCUACACACGUGUUACAAUGGGGGGUACAGAAGGCGGCUACCUGGUGACAGGAUGCUAAUCCCAAAAACCUCUCUCAGUUCGGAUCGAAGUCUGCAACCCGACUUCGUGAAGCUGGAUUCGCUAGUAAUCGCGCAUCAGCCAUGGCGCGGUGAAUACGUUCCCGGGCCU